rnacentral:ncRNA from 1 species
GUGUUAUCUGACAGGAUAAAAGGUUAGAACUUCUCCCCUUGACAAAGAUGGAAGAGGCCCUUGGACCUAGCAAUAAGGAAUUGCCACCUACUUUCUGAUAUCUAAGUACUGUU